UACAACACAGAAGCGCCAAGUAGUACUACUUGUCGGUAGAUGAAAUCAGUGGCUGUUAUUUGUACGCUUUGUUUGUCAACGAAUAUUUCAGUUUUUUAACAGAAAAAUCUAAGCAAAAAUGGACAACGAAAAGAGUACCAUGCUGGCAGUUCUACAAUUGCUCAGAAAGUAUAAUUUAAAGGGAACAGAAGAAUUGUUUAAGAAAGAAGCAAACUUGACAGAUAUUUCUCCAGACGAAGCUCAACAGACUGACUCUGAAGUUAACAGUGUUCUCUCUGCAUAUAAGAGUGAAGGAGAUCCUGCGCUAUAUGAGAAAGCAUAUAGUGAGCUAAAAAAAUUUGUAGAAGGUUCAUUAGACAUAUAUAAGCAUGAAUUGGGUACUAUACUAUACCCAGUUUUGGUACAUAUGUAUCUUGAAUUGGUUUAUAAUAAUCAUUCAGAAGAAGCGAAACAGCUCUUGGAGAAAUUCUGUGGAAACUUGGAAGAGUAUUAUCAGAAUGAUAUGAAGAGACUGUCUAAUGUUACCAAACGCGAGCAAAUGGCUGGAAAUGAAUUAACUGACACUUUUAAAUCUAAUCAGUUCAUAAUUAGAAUGUCGAGGGACACACUUUCGAUAUUGAAGAGGCAUUUACAAGAGAAAAAGCACAGUGUGUUGUUAAAUAUUAUACAAGAACAUCUUUAUUUUGAUAUGUACGAAGGAGUAGCAAGAAAUAAACAGCAAAUUGAUGCUACAUCGGGUGCAGUAGUUGGUGAAGCCACAAGACAAGACAAUAAAGCCAAAGUGUAUUAUGGACUUCUGAAGGAGCCAGAUAUUCAAUGUAUGCCUCCAACAGAGGAAGAAGAGGAUGAUACAGGUGGUGCAGAUGGGGAUAAACCUAAGAAAAAGAAAACCAAGAAAGAUCCUCUAUUUUCCAAGAAAACCAAAUCAGAUCCGAACGCACCACCUGUUGGGAGGAUGCCUUUACCAAAUUUAAAAGACGCAGAUAAACUGGAGAAAGUGAAAGCGCUCAGGGAAGCGUCGAAGCGGGUUGUACUGGGUCCAGAUACGUUACCAUCUAUAUGUUUUUAUACGAUUCUGAACGCGGUUCACACACAUAGUGUGACAGCAGCGGAAGUAGCCGAAGAUUCGAGUUUACUGGCAAUUGGGUUUAGCGAUUCCAGUAUAAAAGUAUGGAGCUUAGUUCCACAGAAAUUAAGACUGAUGAAGACUGGCGAACAGUUACAGGAUAUCGACAGAGAAGCAGAUGAUGUAUUGGUAAGAAUGAUGGACGACCGUACAGCGGAGACUUCAAGGACUUUGUUUGGGCAUAACGGUCCUGUGUAUAGUUUAUCGUUUAGCCCAGAUAGAAAUCUUCUUCUCUCGUCUUCAGAAGACAGUACAAUCCGACUGUGGUCUUUACACACGUGGACUUGCGUUGUCUGCUACAAGGGACAUUUAUUCCCAGUGUGGUGCGUAAGAUUCUCGUCUCACGGUUACUAUUUCGCGACAUCCUCCCACGACAAAACUGCCAGACUAUGGGCGACUGAUUCCCAUCAGCCUCUUCGAAUAUUUGCCGGUCAUUAUUCGGAUGUAGAUGUAGUACAAUUUCAUCCAAAUUCGAAUUACGUGGCGACCGGUUCCAGUGACAUGACUGUAAGAUUAUGGGACUGCGUAACCGGUAGCCAAGUGAGAUUAAUGACGGGGCACAAAGCUCCAAUUUACUCCCUUGCUUUUUCCGCAGAAGGUCGUUUUCUAGCGUCGGCUGGAGCAGACCAUCGCGUUUUAGUUUGGGACUUGGCGCACGGCCAUCUUGUCGCUGCCCUCUCAAGUCAUUCUGGUACCGUGCACUGCUUGUCGUUCAGCAGGGACGGGAAUAUAUUGGUCUCAGGAUCGUUGGACUCUACAAUCAAGUUGUGGGACUUCACCAAACUCGCAGAGGAGAUGAGUUUGGAAGACGUGAAUGUGUCGCAUAACCCGGACGUGAAAACGAACGUCGAUACCUAUCUGCUUCGGACUUUCGCGACCAAAAAUUCGCCGGUUUUGACGUUGCAUUUUUCCCGAAGAAAUUUACUCUUGGGCGUUGGAAUGUUCGAGUCCACGUAACGGAUGUACAAACUUUUUCUUAUCAAGUUACAAGUCUACCUACUGAAAACAGUUUGGCAUUGAAUUGCCACCGUUGUACUUACACGGUACAAAACUUUAUACCGACGAAGCAUCAAGUUCUCUGUCAAGUUUACCAGGAGCUUAAGCAUCUGAUUGUAGAUGGCGCCCCAAUUCAUUCAAUAUCAAUUCAAGGAGACUUAAUCAAAGAUGCAACGUGGCAGGAAUUAUUUUAAUUCACGAUGACUGUAGCCCGUGUUGCCUGCACAGCUUAUCGUCAGGCGUUGAGCUCUUUGUACAUCUAAGAGAUAAAGGGAAAAAAUGAUAAGAUACUGGAGCGUUAAUAUCAGAGAACUCGUAGGUCUCUCGUUGAAUAUGAAUAUUCAUGAACUGAUCAGGGCGAUGUUCGGUUAUAAUUAACGAAGCUCCGACGACAAAGCAGAUGCCGUAAAUCCAAGGGAUUCGAUUGCUGAACUUAAAUUACGGCUGGAAUAUGGAUGGAGCCAGGAUGAGCUUCUCAGUGACCACCAUCCAUAUUCUAUCUUCGUGAUUGAGCACUCGAAACUAUGGCACCGUGAUUGUGAUUUAUUUCGAAUUCCACUUGCUUCCUGUAUUUUCAUGAGCUCCUCUUUGAUUGAUUACAGGACCAAGAUUAUUCCGAUUCGGUUUCUCGCGUUCGUCGCCAGAGGGCUAGAAAGUAGACGUCGAUACCCGAAAUCCCUUCAGUCGAUAAUUUUCUCCAUCGCAAUCGGAAGGCUAAUGAACGUUCUUCAGGAAAAACGAAACUUCGAAUCAGUGCAAGACGGAGCUUUCCGAAACGCGAUAAGAAUCCCACGCGAGGAUGAAAGGAGAAGAUUAUCGCAGCGCCGGAGGAAAUGUAUCCAGGCAAACUCGAAGAAAUUGUUGCGGCACCGGUGACCCACAUCGAACGUUUCAUUCGCGCCGGCACAUUCACGGUUGACCGACAUCCGGUCUGAAACGCGCGUCCCUCAAAAACGGCCGGAUACCAAGACGAUCCGAAUAAGACCGAAGGUCCGUGUCACUGAAUGCACUCGUUAGCCCGGAAGGUCAGCAGAGGGGAAAAUAAAAUGUGGUCCGUUUGCAAAGAAACCGUUUCAUUUCACUGGAUCUGGACUAGAAAUAAAAAUGGGAACGUGGCGUGACCUUAAGAGGUCAGCGACCUUCUACCUGAAAUUUCGAGCCACAUAUAAGUACAGAGAGGUUCGAACUAAAUUAUAAAUUCCAUGUUCGUUUCGCUGGACAGUUUCGGUAACGGAAAUUGCGAUACACUUAAUGCUAAACAAGAUCAUUGACACGUUGGAUGCCACACGACAGAGCGUACACAAAAUGGAAAAAAUAUAUUAAAUCAUUCGAUUGAAUUGUAUUAUUAUUGCUCGUUCAUCCAGAAUGUCACAUUAGGUAUUAUCUAUAGUAUAGAAACGUUCUCGAAUAAUCGUUCAAGUGAACUACAGUAAUUCGAUUUGCGGGUCACCGGUGACCCCGUGGCAUUCAACGUGUCAACGAACGUUUCCGAUGGAAUUGAAUCGGGGACCGCUAGAGGGCUGGAACAACAGGGAGUACGAUCGAAAGCAAUUUCACGCGAGAAAUUUAUUUCCGAUUGUUGAUACGCUUACUUCUAUCACAGCAUACAGACGUAAGUUAUACGCGCUUGUUACCAUACGUGUGUGUAUGUAUUCAUGUAUGUAAUAUGUUAUGUAUGACGUGAUCCUCUUCCUCGUACACGUGUCUCUCUCUCUCUCUCUCUUGUGUUGUUCCGCGCGCGUGAAAACGAUGGCCUUUAGUAGUUAACACUUUCGUAACGGUGUCGGGAGUGGGA